AUAUAAGAAGUAACAUUACUUUUAAUUUCGGCUUAAAGAUAGAUUUUUAAAAAAAAAAUCCUUAUAUA
rnacentral:tRNA from 1 species